CCCUUCGGGGGAAAGAUUUAUCGCCUUGGAUGAACCCGCGUCGGAUUAGCUAGUUGGUGAGGUAAAGGCUCACCAAGGCGACGAUCCGUAGCUGGUCUGAGAGGAUGAUCAGCCACACUGGGACUGAGACACGGCCCAGACUCCUACGGGAGGCAGCAGUGGGGAAUAUUGGACAAUGGGCGCAAGCCUGAUCCAGCCAUGCCGCGUGUGUGAUGAAGGCCUUAGGGUUGUAAAGCACUUUCGCCGGUGAAGAUAAUGACGGUAACCGGAGAAGAAGCCCCGGCUAACUUCGUGCCAGCAGCCGCGGUAAUACGAAGGGGGCAAGCGUUGCUCGGAAUCACUGGGCGUAAAGCGCACGUAGGCGGGUUGUUAAGUCAGAGGUGAAAUCCUGGAGCUCAACUCCAGAACUGCCUUUGAUACUGGCGACCUUGAGUUCGAGAGAGGUUGGUGGAACUGCGAGUGUAGAGGUGAAAUUCGUAGAUAUUCGCAAGAACACCAGUGGCGAAGGCGGCCAACUGGCUCGAUACUGACGCUGAGGUGCGAAAGC
rnacentral:rRNA from 1 species